rnacentral:rRNA from 1 species
UACGGAAGGCAGCAGUGGGGAAUAUUGCACAAUGGGCGAAAGCCUGAUGCAGCUAUGCCGCGUGUAUGAAGAAGGCCUUAGGGUUGUAAAGUACUUUCAUCGGGGAGGAAAAAACAAAACUAAUAAUUUUAUUUCUUGACGUUACCCGAAAAAGAAGCACCGGCUAACUCCGUGCCAGCAGCCGCGGUAAUACGGAGGGUGCUAGCGUUAAUCAGAAUUACUGGGCGUAAAGAGCACGUAGGUGGUUUUUUUAAGUCAGAUGUGAAAUCCCUGGGCUUAAACCUGGAACUGCAUUUUGAAACUGAAAUACUAGAGUAUCGUAGAGGGAGGUAGAAUUCUAGGUGUAGCGGUGAAAAUGCGUAGAUAUCUGGAGGAAUACCUGUGGCGAAAGCGGCCUCCUAAACGAAUACUGACACUGAGGUGCGAAAAGCGUGGGGAGCAAAACAGGGAUUAGAUACC